GAAGCCUACAGGCCUGAGGAACCCGUUGAGUGCUUUCAUCUGAAUACCCUAUGGAUCAUUUGGCUACAGGCCCGACUGGGUGACUUUGGGAGCAGUUGAUGGAAAAAACAAGUGAGAAAGCGAGCCUGGCGAGAACAACUCGUGCUUUGGUGGGAGGAGCCCUAUGUUCUGGCCAUCAGCCAGCCUAGCAGCUGUUUCUUUCCAAGCUCCACAAAGAGGAAAAAGAAAGGAAGGGAGAAAAAAAUUCAAUUACACUGAUGAACAUUUUGAAAAAUUUUACUUUAUGUUCAAUGUUCAUGGACCCCCAGACUCUGCAAAGGAGCAGAACAACAGGCUUCCAAGGAAAUCCAAUGAAGUUUUGAAAGAAUCUAAUGAAGAAAUCCAAUUCAAAGGUUGUUGAAGAGGAAAGAAAGGGGAUAUUUUUCAUGAUGUCAUGUAUAUGGUAGAAGACCUCUAACUGAUGAAGAGAAUACUAAAUAUGGCCCACAUUGUUUAAGGAUUGGAAUUGGCUGUAAAGCUUCACUGGGAAGAGAGAAAAGGACUUUGAAAACUGCAGAUAUAUUGGAGGAAACCGGAUCCUCAAUAUGUCCCUGAUUUUCAACUUGCUUCUCUGUUGAUUUUCCUUUUUCUUUAUUUUAGAACUUCUCUUUUUGUUAAAUUAAGAUUUUUAUCUCGCUGCCAUCUAAAGAGCCCAUUUCUUCUUGAAUGUUUACUAAUAUGUUCUAAUUUGCAAAAUUUCUCCAGUUUUGUUUGAAUAAAUGAGUUUACUAAGUA